AGAGUCGGUCGUGUGGUUACCUUGUCCGCCUAUUGGAGGAUGGGGAGGAAAGUCCGAACACCGCAGGACAGGAUGCCUCCUAACGGGAGGGGCUCCGGUACUUCUGUACCGGAGCACGGAAAGUGCAACAGAGAGCAGACUAUCCCGUUCUCGGGAUACAGGUGAAACGGUGGUGUAAAAGACCACCAGUCCCGGUGGUAACACUGGGAGCUAUGUAAACCCCAUCCGGUGCAAGACCAAGUAGGAGAGCACGAGGUGGUCCGCCUCAUUAUGACUCUUGGGUUGGUCGCGAGAUCCCGGCCGCGAGGCCGGGACCAGAUGAAUGACCACAGUCUCGAUUUUCGGGAUACAGAAUUCGGCUUAUAGAUCGGCUCUGAUA
rnacentral:RNase_P_RNA from 1 species